GGACAAAGGGUGACAGUCCUAAUGCUAUGAAUGUCUGUGGCUCCUUCUACUGGUGAGAUUGAGGCCAGCAUUGGGUCUGUGCGCAGCACAGGAAGGACUGGGGCAGCAGAAGCACCCAGGCCCUGCGGAAGUCAGAGCCCGCUGUGACCACAGCUUUCCUUCCCUUGUGGUCCCCAAAGGCCAUGCAGCGCUUGGGUCUGGCCAGUCGUCAGCUCUCGCCACUGCCACAUUGACUGGCUGGCCGGCAGCAUUCAGUCAAUGUCGGUUCAAUGCUCCUUGCAUCGUAAGUCAGUGCUCCGCUCUCUCUCUAAAUCUCAGGUCCCUCAUUCGUAGGAGACGGCUUCAGUAGCAACGGGGGAAAUGUCACAGUGCCUUUCAUCCCAUCCUUUCCUCUUUUAAAUCAGCAAGAUGAAAAAAAUGGGUUCCAGUAAAGUGCUUUGUGACUUUAUUAUUAGUCUAUUUGAAGCCCUCUCUGUUUUCUUCCUCUUCCUCGCCCCCUCUUCCCCUCCUGUGCUCUUCUGCCUCCUCUUUUUCUUCUUCCUGUUCUGUUUCCUCCUCCUCUCCUUCCUCCUUCAUUUUAGCGAGGAAAGACUUCUCUCGGUAACCAUACUAGCAUGUCUUUCACUUUCUCAACGCCCUUGUCUCUCUUCAGCAAUGCCUGUUUUGCUCAAACCUGAAGCGUCAAAAUUUUUUUGAAUCUGACUUUCUGCCAGAAUUCUUUAAGUAGAUCAACUCCUUUUAUUCUCUAACAUUUUAAAACUCAUUUGCACAGAAGAGAAUUGGAAGGUCUUAAAGUACAGUUGUCCCGUGGUUCCUCACAACCUACUAAGAGUGUUGUUCCAGUUGACAGCGUUUUAAAUCCAGUAAUGAGAGAAGUUCGUCCUUUCAUAUAAAUAUCAUAGGGAUGAAUAAAGAGUCUGGAAGUACUAUUAUUGCAAUUUCUACUGGAUAUUUAGGUAAGAAUCUUGUCUCAAUAUGUUGCCCUUUGAUAAUUUUCUAUCUACUUGGCUUGUUCAGCAAGUGGAGAGCAAGUGGGUUUCCCAUAUCAUUCUGGGACAAGCUACCCCUCAUUUGUUGCUGUCAUACUCACCCCACGUUUCCACAAAUUACUCUGUGUUAGGCAAGAUGAUUUCCAAGAUAGGUAGUCUAGACUAUAAUUAAAACUAAUAUUUUUUUCACUCUAUAAAUUUAGCAGUUUAUUUCUUGAAACUAUCCUAUUUCUCUUCAACAUGGCUCUAGGGAAAUAAGCCACAAGUGCCACAUUUUUCUCUGUGGUUUUCUCAGGCAUCGUGGCCAUCCUCAUACGCAGUAUUGUGGUUUACAACAGUUCCAGACCCAGGCUGGGUGAUGGUGGUGGGUAUCAGAAAGUCUUCAUGGCCGUAAACCCAUUUAAGUAAAUUAAUAAAAUUUAUUUGAUAAGAAGUGAAACGUCUUAAAAAUUACCAGGGCCAAACUACCAAAGUCCCAGCCUAUUCUUAUGUCUAAUUUGAUGGAACAAUCUAGAAUCUGAAAAGCACUGGGUGCUUUCUUGACAGCUUACCUCUGCCGUGAGUUGGAAGUAACCUAAGAUGGGUUCCACAAUGAGGACUUUAAAGUGUCUGUAGGGAAAUGUGGAGUUAAGUAGGUGCAGAGUUGCAACAUUCUUCCAGACUGUUUUAUUUAUAUUUUUAAGCACUUACCACAGACAUAUAGUUAGCAAUGUAUAUCUUUGUCCCUCCCAUUAGUUUGCAAAUCCCUAUUGUUCACUGUUGUGUCACAAAGCCAGGGUCCUGAGAAGGUAUUUGGGGAAUGAAAGGUCUGGGACUGCCCCAUGAUGUCCUCUUGCUCCCAGUUCUGCCCGUACGAUUGCUCAGUACUCUUAGGCUGUAACCCAUUUUUCUUUGGACAAUGAUCACAUUUUGUUGUCUUAGGAGGUGUGGCAAAGAUUCUCUCACGUGCUUAUUUAACAGACCCUAAAGGCCUGGAGACUCCCAGCUGUGUGAGUUUUGAUUAUGCAGAGCACAUCUUGUAACUUUUAAGGCACUUGGCUUUCAGCAAACCUGGGUACCGCCCCUCUCCUCCUUUGGGACGAUAAAAAUAAUAAUGAUAACCACAAUGAAACUUACCGAUGCUUGCACUACAUGCCAGACAUUGGGUUAAGUGUAUCAUAUGCAUUAUCAUAUUUAUUCCUUCCAACAAUACCGUGAGAUCCCUAUCAUUCCUAUCUCCAUUUUACAGAUGAGGAAACUGAGGUGCUGAAAGGCUAAAUAGCUUAUUUGAGGUCUCCCAGCUACAGAGAGGUGGAGAGAGAAUAAGACAGCCCGUCUGCCUCCUCUUAGUCUUUUCACUCUCCAGGGGUAAAUAUAUUAGAUCAUCCAUUAUGAAGCAAUUGAGGAGAUCAAGAAAUACUCCAAGGCAGAUUUUGUUGCCUUUUGAGUCCUUAAUCAUUCUUUCAAACUUUCCAGUUGGCAUGGCUCUCUGCUCAUAAAAAGAUGUUUCAUUUACUGAAACGUGACUCCAGAAGUCUUAUGAAUGCAGCCAGCACAUAGUGGCCUGGGAUCCUUGACUGUGAUUUUUGUAACUGUGUCCUGGUUCCUGUCUGUAGAAUUUAACCCAUGCGGUUUGAACAAGGUGAUCCACCUCCCAGCUCUGGUCGACGCAGGCUGAAAAAAGGAAACUUAAAGAGUGUCUGCUAUGGUAAUUCACUGCUGCGAUCCCUCAGGGUUCUGGAAUUGUCUGCUUCCUGAAGAGUUUGCUGCUCACGGACUCCAACGUCCAGAUGCCUGAGGGGACUUUCUCGAGGCUACAGAUGUACUCUCAGCGCCUGCCCUGGAAAAGGCACAACUGCACGUGAACACAGCAUUCGUGUUAGCUGUCCAAGUGCAGUCUGGAUGUUGAGGGCCCCUCUUGCAGAGAGAGGUCCCUAAGACUGGCAUUUCCCAGUAGCAACAGACUUUUAGGUAACUUAUGACAAGACAGCGAAAAUUACAGCCACUUUGGCUGGGGGUGGG
rnacentral:lncRNA from 1 species